rnacentral:lncRNA from 1 species
GCUGCGGUGGGAGCAGCGGGCAGACACGGCACGGGCACUCCCAUCACCGGGCACCUCUGCUCCAGGCAGCCCCCGGCCCGGCACUCCCUGCACCGCCAUCCCUGGGACAACCCGCUCAGGGAACCUCGGCUCGGCAACGCCGGCCCGGGCACGCCGGCCGGGGCAGCGCUCCCCGCCGCCCGCCCAGCCCGACCGGGACCGCGGCAGAACAAAGGUGCUGGGGGUUGCUCGGGCGUGCCCGGGGUGCGCUUGGUGGUUGCCCGGCGGGUGCCCAGGCGGUGCUCGGGGACGCUCGAAGGGCGCCCGGGAGAGGCUGCUCGGGGAUGGCCGGAGGGAGCGCCGGGGGACGCUCGAGGGGGGCUCGGGGGUGCUCGGGCGGAGCCGCCCUCACGGGCAGCGCCGCGCGGGCCGACAGCGACCCCUGCCGGGCGGGAACGGCCACCGAGCGGAGCUUGGCAGCGCGCAUGCGCGAGGCCUCCGCCGCAGCCCCCGGCAGUGCGGAGCCCCGGGGCCCCCCCAGCACCCCGAGCCCCGCUCCGGUCCCCUCAGCACCCCGAGUCCCGCUCCUGUCCCCACUUAGCACCCCGAGCCCCGCUCCGGUCCCCUCAGCACCCCGAGUCCCGCUCCGGUCCCCUCAGCACCCCGAGUCCCGCUCCGGUCCCCUCAGCACCCCGAGCCCCGCUCCUGUCCCCACUUAGCACCCCGAGCCCCGCUCCGGUCCCCUCAGCACCCCGAGCCCCGCUCCGGUCCCCUCAGCACCCCGAGCCUUGCUCCGGUCCCCUCAUCUCCCUCUCAGCCCCUGCCCACUACUGCUACAGGGUGCCCAGAGCAACUGUGGUUGUCACAUCCCUGGAAGUGUCCAAGGCCAGGCUGGACGGGGCUUGGAGCACCCUGAAAGGUGGAAGGUGUUCCUGCGCAUGGCAGGCGGUGGAACAACAUGAGCAGAUGGAGAGUCCUGGCUCAGGGCACCAGCAGGGCAGUGAAGACCUCAUUAAAGGACCAGCAUCAGUUUCUGUUUUGGGAUCAGGGACUGAUAGGCAGAGCUGGAAAUGA